rnacentral:sRNA from 1 species
GAGACGGGCUGGGCCGGGAACGGGAGGGGCCUGGAGAAGCAGCCCUGCUCACUCCCUCCUCUGGCCACCCAGGUUGGGGCCUCUCUCUUCGCCAGCAACAUCGGCAGUGGCCACUUUGUGGGCCUGGCAGGGACUGGCGCUGCAAGUGGCUUGGCUGUUGCUGGAUUCGAGUGGAAUGCGCUCUUCGUGGUGCUGCUACUGGGCUGGCUGUUUGCACCCGUGUACCUGACAGCGGGGGUCAUCACGAUGCCACAGUAUCUGCGCAAGCGCUUCGGCGGCCGCCGCAUCCGCCUCUACCUGUCUGUGCUCUCCCUUUUCCUGUACAUCUUCACCAAGAUCUCAGUGGACAUGUUCUCCGGAGCUGUAUUCAUCCAGCAGGCUCUGGGCUGGAACAUCUAUGCCUCCGUCAUCGCGCUUCUGGGCAUCACCAUGAUUUACACGGUGACAGG